GUGUGUGUGUGGGGGGGGGAGGUAAGUCCUCCUAAUGGAAGACAAGUAUUGCUCAAUGUACCCUGAGCUAUUGGACCUAUGAGCAUAUUAAAAUCAAUAACAGCCUGGCAUCUUCACAACUACUCCACUUCACUUACAACGCCUGACCUGUGGAAGAAAAUUACAAAAGCUUUUUCUUUUUGUCUUUUUCUUUUUUACCCCAUCAAACAGUAUCUCUGAACAACACUUCUGGAAACCAGUCCAAAUCAGCUCAAGGCUUCAGUGGGAAAGUGGCAGCUGGCCUCAGGAAGCCCCCCAUCCAACCCCGCCGACCAGAGAGACUCCGCGGCGUGACAGCAGCAGUCACCUGGCUCUGGGUGGGUGCCUCCCACUGCAGCCUGACAAAUAUCACGGACAAACUGCCCGGCAACUGUCGGCUGCUGGAGAGAGCCGACUGCCUGACCCGCAUGCUGAUUUUGGGGAGAAAGCCUUCCUUAGAGGAUUACUGACAGGAGAAAAUGGUGAAAGGUUCAAAAUUAAUUUCGAAAUCAAGAUGCUUUUUAAGUUUAGAUUUUUUAAAUAGAAUAGUGUAAAAAGCAAAAAAUCAAAUUUUUUUAAAAUGAAAAAUAGAGCAAAGCGUUCUGCACUGUAACCAUGGCAGCAGUGGAAAGGAGUCAACUGGCUCGCGGUGUUUCAAUGUUGACACGCGCUAAUCGUGUGAAGCCAAUUGAACGCAACGCGGCCUCCGAUGGCCGCGAGUGAGCCCCGGCUUGCAAAACGCGGACGUGGUCAACAGAUUGAGUGGUGUUUGCGUUGCGGACACCGGGACUGCUCGCUCCAGUUAACACUGUUGUCACCAGGAAAUGUUAGAGUGAGCAAUAUCGCUGAUAAGGCGGAGCGUGGUGUCUCGAUGAUGUAGCGUGAUCAGCGUUUGGGUCGCGACGAGGCUGAAGGCCUCGAUUCUAUGAAAACCGGUGUGGUUUCUAUGGUGUUCCUUAUCUUGGAUUGGCGGAGAGACGUCAUUGUAAAUCAACGUUUAAUGUGAGUGGAAAUAAUUGUCUGACUUGCUGAAUUUGUUAGUUUGCUCGUUUACAAGAAACGAGCAGUUUCCCGUCUUUAUGGUACUUUGUUUUCAUGGUAGUGGACAAGAUCCAUCCAUCCAUUCAUUCACCGUCUGUCUACCUCACCCAGACAUGUUGUCACUCCAUCACAUAUGAGACAAGAUAUAAACUAAAAAUCCAAGAAAUAUAAUUACAAAAAAGUAAAAAAUGUCAUCAGGUGUUAGACUGAAAUAGUUGUCAGAUCCCCUACAUUCAAAGACGAUUUUGCCACUCAAACUUUUUCACAUUAGAUGUAUUUUCUUGGGAUUUUAUGUGUGGUGGAUAGUGCGCAACUGUAAGUGAAAGGAAAAUGAAAAAUUUGAAAAGUGUGGCAUGCAUCUGUAUAGUUCCCCUCAGAUGUCCAAUUGUUUUGUUAAAAUUCUGGACGUCUUUUGAGGAAACAGAUUUUUUUCCUCCCUCCGAUUCGGCCAUGAGUUUCUGUGAGCCUUGCUUUUCUAGUCUUGUCACACAUUCUAAGUUAGGUCUAGAUCUGCACUUCAACUAGGCCAUUCUAGCACAAGAACAUGUUACGAUCUAAGCUGCCGCUGCUACUGCUGGAAGGCGAUCAUUCACCCAAGACUUAAACCUUCUGUGCAGAUUUUCUUAUUGUUUGUUCACAUCAAUCUGUUUAGAUUCCCAGAAGAAUCAAGACUUGAUAAACGUGUGAAUGAAUGGAGGACGGUUGAAAUAGUGAAGCUGCAAUAACAGCUGUCUUGAAAAUGAACAAGUUGAAGUAUCCAGGGUCAAAUGUGUACAAAACCGAGGCGACGAAGAGAAUGAUAGUAAAGUAGAUUGGUAUCAAGGAUGUUUUGACACCAACUUGUCCUUUGCUAUGAUGGUUGUCACCUCCAUUUGUCUCUGAGUUAGCCAUUGUAGACUGACCACCUGUGCAGGAAGCACCUCGUCACUCACCCAAUGACCUCAGCCAAUGAUCGUGACCCUGCUCAGGUAAGCAGCUGUAGCUAGUGGAUGGACUGAUGCUCAGACCUUGAUGUCCAGUUGUUUUGUUAAAAGGCUGGACGUCUUUUGAGGAAACGGCUUUUUUUCCUCCCUCCGAUUCGGCCAUGAGUUUCUGUGAGCCUUGCUUUUCUAGUCUUGUCACACAUUCUAAGUUAGGUCUAGAAUGUGUGACAAGACUGGGAGAGUUAUUCCUCUUCUCAGAAUAAGUCACCCAGUAAUUUAUGGACAUCAGCCUUAUGAAUUUGGAUGAGAACAUCGAGUUCAUUUCAUGAAAGACUCUGGCGCACCUGAGGCAGCAUCGCCAAGAUGACCUAUUUUGUAAACUGAAAACGUGACCUACAAAUAUAGAUUGGACGUUUGUUUUGGGAGGUCAGCAUUACGCCAGAUUUAGACGCACUAUCCUAAAGCCUUUUUAUAUUACAGCUCAAGAUCAGUCUGGGCCAUGCAGCUUGGAGACUAAACCAGUACUUAGGUUGACUUUAAUACUGUUUUUAUUAAGUACAAGGAUGUAGCAUUAUUUAUGGAUGCUACAGACAAGUGAUGUCUAUCUGGGUCGGUCUUGCAGAGAGAGCAACUUUAAAAUGUGUGUAUGGUGGUUAUUUAUUCUGUGAUUCAUAUAGAAAGGGGGGGAAAACCUAAUGGCUUUUGUCCAAAAAUAACGAAUUUAUACAGUUUCAAAUGUUGUAAUUUGAGCCAUUUAUUAAGUUUUAUCUCAUAAAAAAAAACAUAAUGGAAACUGAGAAGUGUAAUUUAUGACUUUUAAUGCAUCUGGGAGCAGUUAAAAAAAUUCUUUAAAAUGUUAUUGUCGUGUCCAAGUAUCUUGACCUAAAGUUGACUCAAUGUUCAAGUCCCUUGGGAUGCACUUACUCUCAAAAAUUAACUCUGCACUAAUAAAUGCUCACAGGGGAUGGGGGUGGGGGGUUAUCUGGUUCAUUUUGCAUGAGCACACAGUGGGAGAGAAUGCAAAUUAAGACACAAAUCCAGUCUGACUGCUUUUAUUGUUUUCUGCCUUCUCAGUCGAUGCAUUUAGUGCGAAGAACCCUUUUCCAGUUGCAACAUCUCAAGAUGUUUCUUUUGGAGGCUAAAUACAGCCCAUGCACCGCUUCUGAAAAACCAAAAUCCUCUACAGUCAGUCAGUUGGUGGCAUUAUUCUUGAUUUGUGCUACAAACACGUAAACCAUAAAUCAAACCUAAAAAACCUUAUUCCUUCAUAAUCCUUGGAUGUGCUGCAUCGAUUGCUGGACACUUCUGUCCAGAUUUUUUGGUUGUUGUGUUUGCUACAUUGCAAAAAUGCUAUAUCUAAUCCCAUCACUUAGUCAAAAAUCUCCUAAAAAUCUUCUAUGGAGAUGAAGUCGAAUAGAAUAUCCAUCUUCUGACAAUUCUGAAAAUGAGAAGACUCAGGCAGCAUAAAGACACAUUAAUAUCCAGUUACCACCAACUAGGCAUUUCUUAGAUGUGGAUACAAUUAAAUGAAAUUCCUUUUUCAAGUUAGAGCAAGUAUAGCAAAUGUGCCAAACAUUCAACUCUAGAGUGUGCUGUAAUUAAUAGAAAUUAAUAUUUUGGCUAGAUGUUGUCGGACUUGCCUUGACGCACGGCUCUAGCUCUGGAACCAGGCCCCUCAAGAUGGGUUGGACAAUUUUCCACUUCUUGAGAGGCCAGAAGUGACCAAGUUCAUUGGUUCCUCUACUUUGGAGUCCACUCUGUAACUCAGAUUCUUUUCUGGAGUCCCUGGAGGGGACGCCAAGCACUCCUGCCUUGUUCUGCUGGGGGACAUCAACCUUCACAUGGGCAAUGACAGUGAGACCUGGAGGGAUAUGAAGAAUUGGACACCUGUGCUUGUUACAGAUUAUCUAUAAAGAACACCAUGUUCAAGCAAGAGGAAUGGCAUCUUAGGCUGCAGUUUAACAAUUGACUUUGUGGUCGAUUCAUCUGAUCUGCAGCCGCAAAUCUAGGACACUCAGGGGAAGGGGAGGGUUGUGAUGGUAGAGGAAGAUGCCCAAACGUAUUGUGCGGCUCUGGUGGUAACGUCUGGCAGAGUCUCUUGUCUGAUGGAGUUUCAACUCUCACACCUGGGAGGGCUUCAAAUACUUCCUAUCAAUCAUACGUUCCAGAAGAUUUGUUUUUUACUCGCUCUACGGUUACAACAAGUGACAUGCUGGGUUUGCUUGGGGCUCAGGCUUCCAAUUCGAGUUGAUUAGUGUUGGAUAGGAAUUGGAUGCAACGUCUAUGGGCAAGAGCCAGGUCAGGUUGGAUUGUUUUAUGCCCGAACUAAACUCGAAAGUCUGGUACUCUGCUUAUGGCUGAUGCUCGUACGAUCUGACCACUGACGAUGACAGAUAAACGGACUGACGGACGGAUGGAGGUUGGGUUAUUUUUGGAGGUUAUAAUAGAGGUGGCAAAACAGUUGUUUUGUUUAGUAUUGCUUCCAAUAGCAUGUGGCGUCACCAUAUUUUGAUGUGCAGUCAUCCAUGAUGGAAAUGCAUCGUCACAGCUUUCCCCUUCAGUGCCGAGUCCGGUGUAGGUUUAAACCCAAUGUAGCUGCUAAAACCAAAAAACCCCAACAACUAAUAAUCUAAUUCUUCAUAAAGGAAUGAGAAACUUACUAAACUGGGCAAUGAAAAUCAUUAUUACACAAUGCAGAUCACAUGUAUACACUGAUGUGGGGUGUCAAACAGGAAGGGCGACGACAUUUGGUGGGACACUGGGGCACACAAAGGGAAGAGCUACAGGAGUGAGGUGCGGCGGGUGCAGUCGCUAAGGGGGGCAGCUUGAACUCGGUACAUAACGUCUUGCAGUUCAGAUUCAGUCCUCCACCCAAUGCCUCAGUCAAUUAUGGCUCACAAACUGAUGUAGCGCGCUUACAAUAUUUUAGCACUUACCAAAACUAUGCCGACAAUGUUUGCAGAGCUCGCUCCACACUGAGUUUGAACCUGAAUGCAUGCCUCAACCUUUUGGCCACAUGUUAUCAAUCUGUGUUUGCACUUGGAGACCUCUCGAGAAAAUCCUCACUCUCUAUUCAACAUUGUGACAAUCUCUUGAGCAGUCCUCAAAAUUUAUACCCAGAGCCAGGGGGUUCGGCACUUUGUUGUGUAAAAGCAGCCGUCAGGUUAGAUUUUUAGAUGUCUCGUCAUCUCCUCUGUGACACAUUAUCCAAUCUUUGGAUGCGUUUAAAAUUUUCCUGUUGCACAAAUGCUUUUUUUUAAUAUACAUAUUUCUCCCUA